rnacentral:rRNA from 1 species
UACGUAGGUGGCAAGCGUUGUCCGGAUUUACUGGGCGUAAAGAGCGCGCAGGCGGUCGUUCAAGUCCGCGUGUGAAAGCCCCCGGCUCAACUGGGGAGGGUCACGCGAUACGGAUCGACUCGAAGGGCAGGGAGAGGGAAGUGGAAUUCCUGGUGGUAGCGGUGAAAUGCGCAGAUAUCAGGAGGAACACCGGUGGCGAAGGCGGGUCUCUGGGCC